rnacentral:rRNA from 1 species
CAGGGCUUGACAUCCUACUAACGAAGCAGAGAUGCAUUAGGUUCCCUUUGGGGAAAGUAGAGACAGGUGGUGCAUGGUUGUUGUCAGCUCGUGUCGUGAGAUGUUGGGUUAAGUCCCGCAACGAGCGCAACCCUUACGGUUAGUUGGUACGGAAGAGCACUUUAGCCGGACUGCCGUUGACAAAACGGAGGAAGGUGGGGAAGACGUCAAAUCAUCAUGCCCUUUAUGUCCUGGGGUACACACGUAAUACAAUGGCAGUCAAACAGAGGGAAGCAAGAUGGCGACAUGGAGCGAAACCCUAAAAGCUGUCUCAGUUCAGAUUGCAGGCUGAAACCCGCCUGCAUGAAGGUGGAAUUGCUAGUAAUCGCGGAUCAGCAUGCCG